rnacentral:rRNA from 1 species
UACGUAGGGGGCAAGCGUUGUCCGGAAUCAUUGGGCGUAAAGCGCGUGUAGGCGGUCCGGUAAGUCCGCUGUGAAAGUCGGGGGCUUAACCCUCGGAUGCCGGUGGAUACUGUCGGGCUUGAGUACGGAAGAGGCGAGUGGAAUUCCUGGUGUAGCGGUGAAAUGCGCAGAUAUCAGGAGGAACACCAAGUGCGAAGGCAGCUCGCUGGGACGUUACUGACGCUGAGACGCGAAAGCGUGGGGAGCAAACAGG